UGGGGUGUAGCUCAAUGUUAGAGCAUUUGUCUAGCACAUGGGAGGCUCUGGAUUGUAUCCCCAGCACCACAA
rnacentral:tRNA from 1 species